GACGAACGCUGGCGGCGUGCCUAACACAUGCAAGUCGAGCGGUAAGGCCCUUUCGGGGGUACACGAGCGGCGAACGGGUGAGUAACACGUGGGUGACCUGCCCUCAGCUCUGGGAUAAGCCUGGGAAACUGGGUCUAAUACUGGAUAUGACUCCACGGUGCAUGUCGUGGGGUGGAAAGCCUUGUGCGGCCGAGGAUGGGCCCGCGGCCUAUCAGCUUGUUGGUGGGGUGANGGCCUACCAAGGCGACGACGGGUAGCCGGCCUGAGAGGGCGACCGGCCACACUGGGACUGAGACACGGCCCAGACUCCUACGGGAGGCAGCAGUGGGGAAUCUUGCGCAAUGGGCGAAAGCCUGACGCAGCGACGCCGCGUGAGGGAUGACGGCCU
rnacentral:rRNA from 1 species